rnacentral:rRNA from 1 species
UACGAAGGGGGCUAGCGUUGCUCGGAAUUACUGGGCGUAAAGGGCGCGUAGGCGGACGUUUAAGUCAGAGGUCAAAUCCCGGGGCUCAACCUCGGAACUGCCUUUGAUACUGGACGUCUAGAGUACGGGAGAGGUGUGUGGAACUCCGAGUGUAGAGGUGAAAUUCGUAGAUAUUCGGAAGAACACCAGUGGCGAAGGCGACACACUGGCCCGUUACUGACGCUGAGGUGCGAAAGCGUGGGGAGCAAACAGG